AGUGAACGCUGGCGGUAGGCCUAACACAUGCAAGUCGAACGGCAGCACAGUAAGAGCUUGCUCUUACGGGUGGCGAGUGGCGGACGGGUGAGGCAUACAUCGGAAUCUACUUUUUCGUGGGGGAUAACGUAGGGACACUUCCGCUAAUACCGCAUACGACCUACGGGUGAAAGCAGGGGUUCUUCGGACCUUGCGCGAUUGAAUGAGCCGAUGUCGGAUUAGCUAGUUGGCGGGGUAAAGGCCCACCAAGGCGACGAUCCGUAGCUGGUCUGAGAGGAUGAUCAGCCACACUGGAACUGAGACACGGUCCAGACUCCUACGGGAGGCAGCAGUGGGGAAUAUUGGACAAUGGGCGCAAGCCUGAUCCAGCCAUACCGCGUGAGUGAAGAAGGCCUUCGGGUUGUAAAGCCCUUUUGUUGGGAAAGAAAAGCAGCAGGUUAAUACCCCGCUGUUCUGACGGUACCCAAAGAAUAAGCACCGGCUAACUUCGUG
rnacentral:rRNA from 1 species